rnacentral:rRNA from 1 species
UACAGAGGUCCCAAGCGUUGUUCGGAUUCACUGGGCGUAAAGGGUGCGUAGGUGGCCAGGUAAGUUCGGUGUGAAAGCUCGGAGCUCAACUCCGAAAUGUCAUUGAAUACUAUCUGGCUUUAUUGAGGGUCGGAGGGGAGACUGGAAUUCUCGGUGUAGCAGUGAAAUGCGUAGAUAUCGAGAGGAACACCAGUGGCGAAGGCGAGUCCCUGGACAACUCCUGACACUGAGGCACGAAAGCUAGGGGAGCAAACAGG